rnacentral:rRNA from 1 species
GACGAACGCUGGCGGCGUGCUUAACACAUGCAAGUCGAACGAAGUGGCGAACGGGUGAGUAAUACGUGAGUAACCUGCCCUCCUUUUUGGGAUAAGCGUUGGAAACGGGGUCUAAUACCGAAUAAGGGGGGGUGGGCUCGUGGCAUAUCAGCUGGUUGGUGGGGUGAUGGCGUACCAAUGCGGUGACGGUUCGCCGGCCUGAGAGGGUGACCGGGCACAUUGGGACGGACAUACGGCCCAGAGUCCUACGGGAGUCAGCAGUGGGGGAUAUUGCACAAUGGGCGACAGCCUAAUGCAGCGUCGCCGAGUGGGGGAUGAAGGUUUUCGGGUUGUAAUCCUCUUUCGCUAUCGAACCGGUAGUUGCAGAAGAAGCGCCGGCUAACUACGUGCCAGCAGCCGCGGUAAUAC